UACGUAGGGGGCGAGCGUUGUCCGGAUUUAUUGGGCGUAAAGAGCUCGUAGGCGGCUUGGCAAGUCGGGUGUGAAACCUCCAGGCUCAACCUGGAGACGCCACUCGAUACUGCUAUGGCUAGAGUCCGGUAGGGGACCACGGAAUUCCUGGUGUAGCGGUGAAAUGCGCAGAUAUCAGGAGGAACACCGGUGGCGAAGGCGGUUCUCUGGGCCUGUACUGACGCUGAGGAACGAAAGCGUGGGGAGCGAACAGG
rnacentral:rRNA from 1 species